rnacentral:rRNA from 1 species
GACGAACGCUGGCGGCGUGCUUAACACAUGCAAGUCGAACGGAAAGGCCCUGCUUUUGUGGGGUGCUCGAGUGGCGAACGGGUGAGUAACACGUGAGUAACCUGCCCUUGACUUUGGGAUAACUUCAGGAAACUGGGGCUAAUACCGGAUAGGAGCUCCUGCUGCAUGGUGGGGGUUGGAAAGUUUCGGCGGUUGGGGAUGGACUCGCGGCUUAUCAGCUUGUUGGUGGGGUAGUGGCUUACCAAGGCUUUGACGGGUAGCCGGCCUGAGAGGGUGACCGGCCACAUUGGGACUGAGAUACGGCCCAGACUCCUACGGGAGGCAGCAGUGGGGAAUAUUGCACAAUGGGCGGAAGCCUGAUGCAGCAACGCCGCGUGCGGGAUGACGGCCUUCGGGUUGUAAACCGCUUUCGCCUGUGACGAAGCGUGAGUGACGGUAAUGGGUAAAGAAGCACCGGCUAACUACGUGCCAGCAGCCGCGGUGAUACGUAGGGUGCGAGCGUUGUCCGGAUUUAUUGGGCGUAAAGGGCUCGUAGGUGGUUGAUCGCGUCGGAAGUGUAAUCUUGGGGCUUAACCCUGAGCGUGCUUUCGAUACGGGUUGACUUGAGGAAGGUAGGGGAGAAUGGAAUUCCUGGUGGAGCGGUGGAAUGCGCAGAUAUCAGGAGGAACACCAGUGGCGAAGGCGGUUCUCUGGGCCUUUCCUGACGCUGAGGAGCGAAAGCGUGGGGAGCGAACAGGCUUAGAUACCCUGGUAGUCCACGCUGUAAACGGUGGGUACUAGGUGUGGGGUCCAUUCCACGGGUUCCGUGCCGUAGCUAACGCUUUAAGUACCCCGCCUGGGGAGUACGGCCGCAAGGCUAAAACUCAAAGGAAUUGACGGGGUCCCGCACAAGCGGCGGAGCAUGCGGAUUAAUUCGAUGCAACGCGUAGAACCUUACCUGGGUUUGACAUGGAUCGGGAGUGCUCAGAGAUGGGUGUGCCUCUUUUGGGGUCGGUUCACAGGUGGUGCAUGGCUGUCGUCAGCUCGUGUCGUGAGAUGUUGGGUUAAGUCCCGCAACGAGCGCAACCCUUGUUCACUGUUGCCAGCACGUUAUGGUGGGGACUCAGUGGAGACCGCCGGGGUCAACUCGGAGGAAGGUGGGGAUGACGUCAAGUCAUCAUGCCCCUUAUGUCCAGGGCUUCACGCAUGCUACAAUGGCUGGUACAGAGAGUGGCGAGCCUGUGAGGGUGAGCGAAUCUCGGAAAGCCGGUCUCAGUUCGGAUUGGGGUCUGCAACUCGACCUCAUGAAGUCGGAGUCGCUAGUAAUCGCAGAUCAGCAACGCUGCGGUGAAUACGUUCCUGGGGCU